UUUAAUGCUUCAUGGACCAAACACACCUUAGUCCCUCUUCACUUCUGUAACGCCCGUGAACCAAAAAAUCGGAUAGUGUUUGUUUUUAAAUAAUCCGGUUUAAUUGGUUGGGUUAAUUGGAAACCCUAGAGUGUGCGUAUAAAAGAAGGAAACUCAAAAUUAGGGCUUUAGUUAGCCACGUUUCGUUUUAUAAAGGAGAAAAAGAGAGAGAAGGAGAAGGAGCAGAAUCGUUAGGGGUUUGGGAGAAAUCAGUUUCGUCAUAUCAAAUCGUGGUCAAAGGUAACGAAAUUUGGUAGAGUUAUUCCCAAGUUGUUUAUCGUUAUGCUCCAAUUAACAGAACUU
rnacentral:sRNA from 1 species